UACGUAGGGCGCAAGCGUUGUCCGGAAUCAUUGGGCGUAAAGAGCUCGUAGGCGGCCUGUUGCGUCCGCUGUGAAAUCCCGGGGCUUAACCCCGGGCGUGCAGUCGAUACGGGCUAGCUAGAGUGUGGUAGGGGAGAUCGGAAUUCCUGGUGUAGCGGUGAAAUGCGCAGAUAUCAGGAGGAACACCGGUGGCGAAGGCGGAUCUCUGGGCCAUUACUGACGCUGAGGUGCGAAAGCGUGGGGAGCAAACAGG
rnacentral:rRNA from 1 species